GACGAACGCUGGCGGCGUGCUUAACACAUGCAAGUCGAACGGAAAGGCCUUUUCGGAGGUACUCGAGUGGCGAACGGGUGAGUAACACGUGGGUGAUCUGCCCUGCACUCUGGGAUAAGCCUGGGAAACUGGGUCUAAUACCGGAUAGGACCGCACUUUAGCGUGUGUGGUGGAAAGUUUUUUCGGUGUAGGAUGAGGCCGCGGCCUAUCAGCUUGUUGGUGGGGUAAUGGCCUACCAAGGCGGCGACGGGUAGCCGGACUGAGAGGUUGGUCGGCCACAUUGGGACUGGGAUACGGCCCAGACCCCUACGGGGGGCAGCAGUGGGGAAGAUUGCACAAUGGGCGCAAGCCUGAUGCAGCGACGCCGCGGGGGGGAGGACGGCCUUCGGGUUGUAAACGCCUUUCGCCAGGGACGAAGCGUUUUGUGACGGUACCUGGAGAAGAAGCACCGGCUAACUACGUG
rnacentral:rRNA from 1 species